AUUGAACGCUGGCGGCAGGCCUAACACAUGCAAGUCGAGCGAGCGGCGGACGGGUGAGUAAUGUAUGGGGACUGCCCGAUAGAGGGGGAUAACUACUGGAAACGGUGGCUAAUACCGCAUACGAUCGGAUAACCCAUCUGGGAUUAGCUAGUAGGUGGGGUAAAGGCUCACCUAGGCGGCGAUCUCUAGCUGGUCUGAGAGGAGGACCAGCCACACUGGGACGGAGACACGGCCAGGACUCCAACGGAGGAAGCAGUGGGGAAUAUUGCACAAUGGGCGCAAGCCUGAUGCAGCCAUGCGGCGUGUAUGAGGAAGUCCUUGGGGUUGUAAAGUACUUUCAGCGGGGAGGCGUUACCCGCAGAAGAAGCACCGGCUAACUCCGUGCCAGCAGCCGCGGUAAUUC
rnacentral:rRNA from 1 species